CUACGGGGUGCACCAGUGAGGAAUAUUGCACAAUGGGGGGAACCCUGAUGCAGCAACGCCGCGUGGAGGAUGACGCAUUUCGGUGUGUAAACUCCUUUUAUAUGUCAAGAAAAUGACGGUGGCAUAUGAAUAAGCACCGGCUAACUCCGUGCCAGCAGCCGCGGUAAUACGGAGGGCGCAAGCGUUACUCGGAAUCACUGGGCGUAAAGGACGCGUAGGCGGGUUGGAAAGUCAGGUGUGAAAUCCUACAGCUUAACUGUAGAACUGCACUUGAAACUUCUAAUCUAGAGUAUGGGAGGGGGAGAUGGAAUUAGUGGUGUAGGGGUAAAAUCCGUAGAUAUCACUAGGAAUACCUAAAGCGAAGGCGAUCUCCUGGAACAUUACUGACGCUAAGGCGUGAAAGCGUGGGGAGCAAACAGGAUUAGAUACCCCCGUAGUC
rnacentral:rRNA from 1 species